rnacentral:rRNA from 1 species
CCUACGGGUGGCAGCAGUGGGGAAUAUUGGUCAAUGGACGAGAGUCUGAACCAGCCAAGUAGCGUGAAGGAUGACUGCCCUAUGGGUUGUAAACUUCUUUUAUAUGGGAAUAAAAUGUUCCACGUAUGGGGUUUUGUAUUUACCAUAUGAAUAAGGUUCGGCUAACUCCGUGCCAGCAGCGGCGGUAAUACGGAGGAUCCGAGCGUUAUCCGGAUUUAUUUGGUUUAAAGGGAGCGUAGGUGGAUUGUUAAGUCAGUUGUGAAAGUUUGCGGCUCAACCGUAAAAUUGCAGUUGAAACUGGCAGUCUGGAGUACAGUAGAGGUGGGCGGAAUUCGUGGUGUAGCGGUGAAAUGCUUAGAUAUCACGAAGAACUCCGAUUGCGAAGGCAGCUCACUGGACUGCAACUGACACUGAGGCGCGAAAGUGUGGGUAUCAAACAGGAGUAGAUACCCUGGUAGUC